UAAUACAGAGGUGGCGAGCGUUGUUCGGAUUUACUGGGCGUAAAGGGUGCGUAGGCGGUUCCGCAUGUCGGAUGUGAAAUCCCACGGAUCAUCUGUGGAAUGGCAUUCGAAACUGCGGGGCUAGAGUGCAGGAGAGGAGGGCGGAAUUCUCGGUGUAGCGGUGAAAUGCGUUGAUAUCGAGAAGAACGCCGGUGACGAAGGUGGCCCUCUGGACUGCAACUGACGCUGAGGCACGAAAGCUAGGGGAGCAAACAGG
rnacentral:rRNA from 1 species